ensembl:snRNA U6 U6 spliceosomal RNA
GUGCUCGCUUCUGCAGCACAUAUACUAAAAUUGGAAUGAUACAGAGAAGAUUAGCAUAACCCCUGCACAAUGAUGAAACGCAAAUUCAUGAAACAUUCCAUAUUUUU